UGCCUCCCAUGGAGUGGUGCAAUCUGAGACAAACCAGAUCCAGCCCCUGACUUCAGGCAUACACAUUAUUCCCACUAAUGAGCUAGAAUAUUCUGGUCAUGGCUGCCACCUGGGGAGAAAGAAAAGGAC
rnacentral:lncRNA from 1 species